CACAUUUCUUAAGUUUGUUGGAAAGUACCAAAUUUAAGAUAUCUUGCAUUUUUUUCUUCCUUAGUAAACACUAAAUUCCAUCACGCAGCAGAAAAAGGGCUCUGUUAUUGUUGGUACAAUGGUUUAAUAUUCACUUGUAUUCCCUGUAUCGUAGUUCUGAUUUAAUUGCUAUUUAGAAUAAAAUUUGUUCCUUAUUAUAUGCAUUCAUAAUUAUAAAAUUUGUGUUUUAAUGCCUUCUACACAUAUACUGUGCUUUUCUUUAUUUCCUUAUAUCUCUUACUGUUUCAUGAUCCUGGUAUUUGAAAUCUCAUUAAGUGUUGUUUGGGGAUUUGCUGGGAAUGUCAUCUACAUAGUAAUGUCUCAAGUUUGUAGCAUCUUUAAAACAUAAUAGGAGAUGGAAUUCACAGCAGAGUAAUAAACCUCCCGCUUUAGGCAAUGUAUUUGUGAUUGGUAUGACUUUGUUCCCAGAGGGCAGUUAGCAACACAAUAUUAAGGCUAUGUGUACAAGGAAAACAAAUUUUAAAAAUCUCCUUUAAAAAAACAGUUUCCUAUCCUAACCAGUAUCAUGCACAGAAUCCGUUUCCAUCUCUUCAUAUGGAAGCAGCUCUGGGUGGACAUCUAGAAAGUUGGAUAACUAUUUAUCACAUAUGAUCUGUAAAGGGAGAGAUUUACAAGAAAGUGUUAAAUUUAAUCCAUAGGAAAGCAAAGUCAAAAAUCAAUGAAUUUUCCAUUUGUAGUUUUCCCUAGGGGCUCCACUCUCAAGAUGGCUUAUAUGCGUUAGAACUAAUUGACUAGGCACAAUUGUUUGUUAGUGACAUAAAAGCAAGGUGAGCAUUUCUGCUUUAUGAGUCCAAGCACAGGGGCAUUGGUUUUCUUUGGAAGGAUAUCAUAAAGGCAAUGUUUAUGAGUAAUCCCUCAUUGUCUUUCCUUCUGUAGCAUUCAAUGGUAUGUACUAUAAUUUAGAAAUGAAAACUAUUUAAAGACCACUUGCUAAGUUUCAUGUAUUUCAAAUUCUCAGAUCCUAAGUGUUUAAAUAUGCCUAUAUUUCUUCAUGAAAAAAAACAUAAUCUUUGCCAAGUUAGAAAAAGAAAAAGUCAUAUUCCCAUUUUUAUCUAAAUGUAAUCAGAAAUUUGGACAGUUUUUAGCCUUCAAUACAUUAUGUAAUUUGGGUAACAGGUUGAAUAAAAGUAAGGAACUUCAGUUAAAUUCAGAGAGAAGCUAGUAAUUAUUUCUAAGACUCAAAUGUAUAGAACAGAUCUCUGAUAGUAAGGGUAAAACCCUCAAAGGUGACCCAAAAUGGGUAAUUGUGGGAUUAUUUUGGGAGGAAUCAUCAUAGAUUCUUACUGCUAUAAAUACAGUCAAAUGUCAGAUAAAUAUACUCCACUGAAAUGUUUUCUAGGAAUGAUGUUGGAACCAAUGUUGGUAAUUUUGAAAGUCAUGGAGAGGAUUUCAGAUGAUAGAAGUCGGGCAACUAUCCCAGGUUUAAUAAAUAAGUAAAUUGUGAGUUCCAAAAAUGCUGUAUCAAUGAGCCUCAUAUUGAUCCUGAGCACAAUUUCAGGAAGGUCCAUUAAAUGGGUCUUUGGAGAGCACUUAGGAUAAAAGGCUGGCAGCAGGGAUUCACUAAGAGCAAUGGUGCCAAGCUUGUCUCUUUAGCAUUGUUAUGUGACUGAUAAAGGUAGGCUAUAGCGAUACACAAUACAGAUAUUUCCAGGGUAAAGCUGUCGAGCUGCUGUAAUUUUCCUUGCCUCUUCACUAUCUUCUCCUAUAGUUGACUCCCAAGGAAAAGAUAGUUGACUUUUAAUCUAGAAAUGUAUGUUAAUUAGCAAAAACAAACAAAUGAAACCAUAAACUAUCCUUUAGGCUUCUCUCUGCUCAGUUAUUAGAUCAUAUGAAUGUGCCCUUAGGAAACACAGAAGACCCACACUACUAUAGAGACAAAUUUCUUACAUUCUCUGCUGUUUAAUGCUCUUCAAAAGACUUACCAUACUUCACUAAUUUGAUUACCAACUACUUGAACACAGGGACCAAUGUGCUUAUUAAAAAUUUUGCAUAUUAUGAGGGCAUUAACUUUUAAGUAUUCGAUUGUUAAGACAAUGCAUAUUAUUAUAAACCAUAGAAGGCACACUUAUUACCUCCUUAAGAACCAGUCUCUAUUUCUCUGGUUCAUAGAUCUCCAAGGUCAUAGAGGGAUUUUACAUUUGUGUCUUCAAUUGGCCCUCUUCAGCCCUAGGAUAAAUAGUGAUUAAUCUAAGCCAAUGGUUUUCAGCUCUGUCUGACCCAAUGCCUCUACUUCACAAGAAACUCUUCAAAGACCCCUUCGCUAUUCUAAACUAUUAGUGAGAACACAAUGUAUGCAUUCAAGUUGUUGAAAAUAUUAAUGUUAUGCUGAAGCUAACAAAGGAGAAAUAAUUUACUGUCAAUAUAUAAUCCAAAAUGUAUAUAAUUGUGCCAGAACAUUUACAUAUCAAAUACAAUAGAACAUAAUGAAAUUUUCAUAUCUUCACCAAUACUUUGAUACAUUGUAAAUAAAAAGCUACAGAUAUAGUUUCAUUGAAUAACCAAAUGCCAAAACUGCCAUUUCUAUUGUUGACAUGAUUGAUCUGCAUUGGUAAAUGUAAUAGAUACUUUCUGUUUGGCCCUUGUCCCCUGUUAUACUCCCCUAUUUACUGGCUUUUGUCCAAGUGGAAUGGUCCAUAUUGAAUAUCUCAAUCGGUUCCCUUGCUCAUUGCCUUCUAUGCAUGUUCAUGAGAUUAAAGGGAAGGAGGUAAUGGGAUUGGGGGUUAUUGCCUAAACUCCCUCUCUGCUAGGUCUCCUUGACCAAUCUUUUUCAUAAGAAAAUUAGUGUUUCCUUGUGUGAUCAGGGCAGUUUACUCUCAAGAACUCUGCCUGCUGCUACUAACCCAGAGUUAUUGUGGGGUGUGAUUUCUGUGAUUCCUUCACCCUUCUCCCCUGACAUUUUCGUAAGUAGUCUCUUUGGAAAUAAACCCAUGUUAAAUUAUCUUAGUUUGUGUGUGUUCUAUUUUUCCUAUUGAGACUCUGAAAUGAGUAUCUAAAUGAAAAAAUCUACCGUCUUUUCUCAUAUACAUAGUAGUUUCGUUCUUGCAAAAUUCAUGGCAUAUUAAAACCAUGCAAAAGUAUUUGGCACUUAGGCAGUUACAUUUGGGAUUGUAUAAUUAAACAAAGCAGGUUAUUCGCCU
rnacentral:lncRNA from 10 species